UCAUAAAGGUGAUGGUGCAAGAAAAUCAAGGCCUUUAGCACAGUUUCAAACCUUCAUUAAGGUGAUGGCGCAAGAAAAACGAGGCCUUAGCACAGUUUCAAACCUUCAUCAAGGUGAUGGUGCAAGAAAAACAAGGCCUUAGCACAGUUUCAAACCUUCAUCAAGGUGAUGGCGCAAGAAAAUCAAGGCCUUAGCAUAGUCUUGGGUGGAUGCAUUAUUU
rnacentral:lncRNA from 1 species